rnacentral:rRNA from 1 species
UGAGGAAUAUUGGUCAAUGGGCGGGAGCCUGAACCAGCCAAGUAGCGUGAAGGACGACGGCCCUACGGGUUGUAAACUUCUUUUAUAAGGGAAUAAAGUUCGCCACGUGUGGUGUUUUGUAUGUACCUUAUGAAUAAGCAUCGGCUAAUUCCGUGCCAGCAGCCGCGGUAAUACGGAGGAUCCGAGCGUUAUCCGGAUUUAUUGGGUUUAAAGGGAGCGUAGGCGGAUUGUUAAGUCAGUUGUGAAAGUUUGCGGCUCAACCGUAAAAUUGCAGUUGAUACUGGCAGUCUUGAGUGCAGUAGAGGUGGGCGGAAUUCGUGGUGUAGCGGUGAAAUGCUUAGAUAUCACGAAGAACUCCGAUUGCGAAGGCAGCUCACUGGAGUGUAACUGACGCUGAUGCUCGAAAGUGUGGGUAUCAAACAGGAUUAGAUACCCUGGUAGUCCACACAGUAAACGAUGAAUACUCGCUGUUUGCGAUAUACAGUAAGCGGCCAAGCGAAAGCAUUAAGUAUUCCACCUGGGGAGUACGCCGGCAACGGUGAAACUCAAAGGAAUUGACGGGGGCCCGCACAAGCGGAGGAACAUGUGGUUUAAUUCGAUGAUACGCGAGGAACCUUACCCGGGCUUAAAUUGCAAAUGAAUUAUGGGGAAACCCAUACGCCGCAAGGCAUUUGUGAAGGUGCUGCAUGGUUGUCGUCAGCUCGUGCCGUGAGGUGUCGGCUUAAGUGCCAUAACGAGCGCAACCCUUAUCUUCAGUUACUAACAGGUCAUGCUGAGGACUCUGGAGAGACUGCCGUCGUAAGAUGUGAGGAAGGUGGGGAUGACGUCAAAUCAGCACGGCCCUUACGUCCGGGGCUACACACGUGUUACAAUGGGGGGUACAGAAGGCCGCUACCUGGUGACAGGAUGCCAAUCCCAAAAACCUCUCUCAGUUCGGAUCGAAGUCUGCAACCCGACUUCGUGAAGCUGGAUUCGCUAGUAAUCGCGCAUCAGCCAUGGCGCGGUGAAUACGUUCCC